rnacentral:rRNA from 1 species
AGUGAACGCUGGCGGUAGGCCUAACACAUGCAAGACGAACGGCAGCACAGUAAGAGCUUGCUCUUACGGGUGGCGAGUGGCGGACGGGUGAGGAAUACAUCGGAAUCUACUUUUUCGUGGGGGAUAACGUAGGGAAACUUACGCUAAUACCGCAUACGACCUACGGGUGAAAGCAGGGGAUCUUCGGACCUUGCGCGAUUGAAUGAGCCGAUGUCGGAUUAGCUAGUUGGCGGGGUAAAGGCCCACCAAGGCGACGAUCCGUAGCUGGUCUGAGCGGAUGAUCAGCCACACUGGAACUGAGACACGGUCCAGACUCCUACGGGAGGCAGCAGUGGGGAAUAUUGGACAAUGGGCGCAAGCCUGAUCCAGCCAUACCGCGUGGGUGAAGAAGGCCUUCGGGUUGUAAAGCCCUUUUGUUGGGAAAGAAAAGCAGCAGGUUAAUACCCCGCUGUUCUGACGGUACCCAAAGAAUAAGCACCGGCUAACUUCGUG